AUUAUAAAUUUUAUUUACAAAAAGAUAUAUAAUUAUAAAUGAUUAAGUUUUAAUUAGCAAAAAAAUUUAAUAUUAUUCUUAAACAUUAUCCUAACCGUCCUAUUAUCUAGAAAGUCUUUGGAGUUAAAUCAUUUAAAAAAAUUGCUAAAAAAUACUAUUACAACUCAAUUUUCUAUUAAAAAAAUAACUCUUUUAUUAUAUUGUUAAAUAAAAUAAUUUAAUUUUUCAUAACAAAACUUAUUAUUAUUAUUAUUAUUAUUAUUAUUAUUAUUAUUAUAAAAGUAGAAAAGUGGAGGAAUAAUGAGAUAGAGAAAAAAUAAUAUAAUUAUUUUGUAUUAUGACAAUAUGAAUUACUGAAAUUAAUUAUCUAUUAAAAAUAAAUAUAUUUUAAGUAAAAUUAGAAUAUUAAAAAAUAAAAAAACUCUAAGCUUAAUAGAAUUUUCAUAUAUUAAAUUAUAUAUGAAAAUUAACAAAUAAUUAUAUAAAAAAAUUAAUCAUUAAUUUAUACAACAAGUAAGAUAACGUGCAAUGAAAAAAAAAAAAGAGUUUAUAUAUAAAGUGUGAGCCAAUGGUUUGCACGAAUUUAUAGUUACUAAAUAUUAAAUUAAUUAAAAUUCAUAUGAAUAUUGGUAAGUUAUUAUAUAAGUGGUAAAUAUGUAAUACUAAUAUCCCCGAAAAGGCCAUAAUGAGCGACCCAAAGGCUUCAUUUCAACAGCCAACAACAGUCAUGUGCUUAUAUUUAUUGCGGUGCUACUUUUGACAUGUGACGGGUCACAUUCUAACAACAAUUCACAGACCAUCGUACUCGCCCACCUUUCCUUUUUCUUUAAUUAUAAUUAUAAUUAUAAUUAUAAUUUAAAAAAUAAUUUUAAUACUAUUUAAUUAAAUUAAACUUCAUUAUUCUUAAUAAUGCUGCGUUAAUAUCUUUUGCUUCAUAUGUUACUUGUUCUUUUGUUGUAUAUUUUAACUUUUAAAGUAUUGUACUUGUUACUAGUUCAUCACCAAAUUAUUUAGGGUUUUAUUUAUUUAAUUUUUUGCAUUAGCAAUUCUAAUUAGUUAAAUCACUGUACUUCUCUAAAUUUGAUAUGUAUACAUUUAAAAAAAAUUUCUAAACAUUUAAUUGAAUAAAAUUUAAAAGUUAAAUUUAAAAUAAAUUCAUUCACCAUUAAAUAUAAUCAUGAAACCUGAAACUGUUACUUUAUAAGUAUGAAUUUCAUUUUCGUCAUCUCAAUUAUAUAAAUUUGUAGAUAAAAAAAAAAAAAAACUAGAAGUCGAUUAGAGGGGUCUUAAUGAAGACCCUCCCGUUCUCAAUUAGAAAAGUGAUAUUCUCUGGUAACAAUAGGGUAGAGAAAAAGGAUAGAGAAAGGAGAAGGAACCCUUUUCCCUCCUUAUAUAGAGAAAGUAAGUAAUAGUAUAUUCUAAAUAAUAUUCUCUGAUAGAAUAUAAUUUUAAAUAAAAAUAAGUAUAUUAUUUUAAAUAAUUAUUUUAUACUAUAUCAAUAAUUUUCCCUUUUUAUUAAGGUUUCUUUUUUCACUACAAAGAUUAUGGAUAAAAAAGAUAAUAAAAGUUAUUUGCAUAAAUUAUAAAAUUGUCUUCAUAAAUUAUGGAAACAAAAUUAUGAUGUCUGCGAAACUAUUACCAUAGCUUCUGUUUUUAUAAGUUAUGGAGAAAAAUUAAGUACUAAAAAAGUCCAUUCAUUUUGUGUAUUUUUGUUUUUAUUCGAGUUUGUGUGAGUGUAGAUAAUAUGAAAAUAAGAAUUUUAUAAAAAUUAUCUAUAAUUUUAAUGGUGAUUUAUUUUCUCUAUAAAUUUGUGUGUGCGUAUAUUUUAUCUUUAAUAAAAAAACGGCAAAAAGCUAAAGGAAAAAUUGAUAUGCAUGAGUAGGCAAGGCCAUUCGCUAGUAGGCUAAUCUUUUGAGAUCUCAUAUCGAUUGAUUGUAGAACGUGUGUGAGUGUGAGUUAUAUGAGAAUAAUGACUCUAUUUAAUUAAAGAUUUUAUUUAAUUUUUAAUCUUCACAAAUUGAAUAAUAUUUAAUAAUUUAUAUUUAAAAAUUAAAAUAAUAUUAGAAAUUAUUUGAUUGAUGUGGGCCCAGAGAGUCUGACAAUGAAUCUGAAUGGAGAGGACCAUAUGUGAUGGGUGGAGCUGAUAGAAGCUGAAUUUGAAGCAGUAAACUGGGCAGUGACCUUUUGUGUCUGUCUGUGUCUCUCUAUUUCUCUGUGUCUGUCUUGCUCUCACAUAACCCGCAACCUCAAGCUUAGAAAUAAGUGUUGAAAUUUUAUUGCAUUCAACGAGGCUUUCCCUUCUCAUGUUAAUUUUUCUAUACUUCACCACCAUUACAAUAUUUAGUAUUUCUUGCAAAACUGAUAGCCUAAACCCCCCACCUCCCCUUUCCUAAAUUGAAUUUUGAAAAUUUCCCAUUUAGGCCGCUGAAUCACCCAUUUUCUGUACCAUCAACACCAUAUUAGUCAUUCAUUAAUAAAACCUAAAUUAUUAUCAUCAUUAAUACAAUUUUACAAUUGAAAUAAAUAAUAGAGUAAUUAAGGUGUAUUUUGCCAAACUAAGUAAAAAAUUUAAUUAGGAUGAUGGUGUGAUUAGGUCAUUUUCUGUGGAACACAAGGCCUAGAUGUAGGGUCAGGGUGCGCUACUACUUUUAUUGCUUUCUUUGUCCUUUUUCACCCUCCAUCUCUCCUCCUAGCCUUUUUAUCCCUUUCUUUUGCUUGCUCAUUUCUCAUUCACUACGAUCACACUAAGCCUCUCUCUCUCUCUCCCCCUCUCUUCCUCCCUCCCCCAAAUCAGUCAGUGUGUCAACUGGGUUCCUGAGAAGCUAUAUAUCUUUUGAGGGGAAUGUUGUCUGGCUCGAGGCCACUAACUAGAUCGAUGAUUUUAUCUCUGAAUUGAUUUAUUUUUGUUGAGAUAUGAUUGAUCUUGAGUUAGUGACGUCGGACCAGGCUUCAUUCCCCCCAAUUGUUGCUUCCU
rnacentral:precursor_RNA from 1 species